rnacentral:lncRNA from 1 species
UUGUUCAGAAAGAGCAUGGCACACUUGAGUCUUAGUACCAAUGGCGAGCCUAAGUUUGAGGUUCCACAAAUAAAUAUGCUUUAGGCAGUGAUGACAUUUGGCACCCUACUGCCCAAGCGAGAAACCGGAAAGGUGGGUGAGCCCUCUCUUUUCCUGCUCUGCCCCCCACCCAAUUACUGUGGAUUCCAAUGUUGUGGUAGAGAACAUGGACUUUGCGUCUUUUAACAGACACAGACAGUGUCCCAUCACUGGCUGAUGAAGGGCACAUAAUUUAGCCUCUUUGUGCUUCCUUUACUCUAGAAUAUUUCAGAGCUGUUAAAAGGAUUAAGUGAAAUUAUGCAUAAAAGGGAGUCUCAUAGUGGCUGCUGUUCAAUAGUUCAUUCUCUCUACUGCCGGUGUCCUUUACAUCUGGGUGCUGGAAGCGGCUUUUUGGUGGUAUCCCUAAUUUUUGCCUUUCUCUAUUCCGGUAGUUCUCAAAGUGUUUCUGGACCAGCAGCAUCAGUAUCACCUGGGAGCUUGUUAGAAAUGCAAAUUCUGAUGCAGACCUAUUGAAUCAGAAACUGGAGGUGAAACCCAGCAAUCUGUUAGAAGUAGCUUUCCAGGUGAUUCUGAUGCACAGCAAAAUCUAAGAACUAAUGCUCUAAUCCAUCCUCCAAGCCCAUAUGGCUGCCCCUCUCCACCAUCCAUCUUCACACUGGACCCCAACACAUAAACCCAUCUCUGCUCAGCCAUUCAAACUCCUGUGCAGUCCCCUAAUGUGCCAUACACCCUUUCUUCUGCCAUCCUAUAAGUCCCUUUGGCAUUCUCCCAACCCACCCACCUUCCCCCCGACCUUCAUUCACUUGGCAAAUCCACUCACCCUGUGAAUACCCAUUAGGUCUGGAUCCUCACUUUUGCACACCUUAGUGUAGCACUUCCACUUCUGUUGAUUUGCCUGUUCCCGGAUAGAUUAUGAGUUCCUAGAUGACAUGGACCAGGCUAUACCCUCCCCAGCAUCUAAUGCUAUGGAUGUUUAUUGAAUGAAUGGAUGCAUGCACAUUUUUCUGUUGCCCAAACAGCCAUCAUUUUAACAUUUCACUGUCACUUUGAGUCCGCUUCUUGGCUUAGGGCUGACACCUUACCCAAGGGAAAUCCAUGUCCCGGCUUGCCACCUGUCUGUGAGUUAAGGCCUCUCCUCUCUCAAGACUUUGAAGUUAGAGAGUGUAAGAAUGAGUCAUGCAUGGAAUUAGGGUGUUAGAAAGUUGAGUGGGGACCCAUGGCAAGCAAAGGUACUAGGUAAAGAAGAGAUCCACAAAGACAGAGACACCAAAAGGAACAUCAGCCCUGGACCUGCCUGGUUCCAGAGCUUUUUAGUCCCUGUCCUGGGCCUCUAAUGCUCUCACAAACCCCUCCCUUCCCCAAACUAGAUUGAAAUCUCCCAUCAGAUAGUUGAUGAGUACUCUCUAUUUCUUCAAAGAACUCACAAUUCUAAUUAAUUAUCUAUAUUACUCAGUUAUGUAAUUAUUAAUUUAAUAUCCCUUUUUUUCCUGCUAAGCUUUAUGAGGUCAUAAAGCCAAUCUGUUCUUUCCAUUUUAUCCCUGGUGCUCAGCUCAGUGCCUCACAAAGAAAACUGAACACUUAGCACAGGGGGUCAACACUCCCUACUGAAGGAGGAGGGCAUAGAGGCAAAGGGACUUGUCCAUGGUGUCCUGUGUUUAAGAAAAGGAGGCAAGGCUGGAACAAGACUGGAAUGGGUGGGUCUCACACUUCCCACCAGCUACGCUGUGUGCCGUCCUCCUAGAUGCAAACCUGACUGCACAGAUGUUCGGGCGCUCACAGUGGGAGGCAUCUCCUGGCUGGGCUCAGGCUUGCCGGUGGGACUGCACGGGAUUUGUGCCCACAGACUUUCAAGUGCUGGGUUUCCUUUUCAGCCCCACCACCUCACCCAUGUGCCCGGAGACAGUGACUCUGACGCAGUACAGUUAAUCUGUGCACAGGAAAGAAGAGCUGUUUGAAGAGGUUAUUCGGUAAAUGCAGAGAAUGUCUUUGUAGUAUAAAUUAUUGCUCUAUAUAAAACUGCUUGUAAGUUUU